rnacentral:rRNA from 1 species
UGGGUGACCUGCCCUCAGCUCUGGGAUAAAGCCUGGGAAACUGGGUCUAAUACCGGAUAUGACCUCUCACUGCAUGGUGGGUGGUGGAAAGUUUUUCGGCUGGGGGUGGGCCCGCGGCCUAUCAGCUUGUUGGUGUGGGUAAUGGCCCACCAAGGCGACGACGGGUAGCCGGCCUGAGAGGGUGACCGGCCACACUGGGACUGAGACACGGCCCAGACUCCUACGGGAG